rnacentral:lncRNA from 1 species
GGCAGUUAGGCUGCAGUGAAUUCUACAAAGAGGCUAUGGGAAAGAAACCUGGAAAGGUAGGGAGGUAUGGAUAUGGACAAGCUAUGCCAAGGAGCAGGGCUUUGUCAUGGAGAGUGACUAGGUGCUUUUACAUAGGAAAGUCACCUGAUAAUAUUAAAACCUGUGAAAUAUCACUCUGGUGGAAGUGUGAAUGAAUUUGAAAGGGGUGUAACACUGUUCUACUUUGUUUACUCCUCAGUACCCUUGGCUGUGUACAUUUGAGUAAAGAGAGCACUAUAAAAUCAAAAACCAAUGAAAUGGUUUCCAGAACACAGAACUAUUAAGCUUAAGAAAAGGACAGAAGGAACUGAAGAGAGAGGAACUGUUUUGGAGCAUCACACUUCCACCUCAGAAGAAAUAAGGAAGGAAGGAGGAGGGUGUUCCCACGGCUCUUCAACCAGGCCGGCUCUUCAGCCUACAUCCCCAUCUCAUCAAGUAAAAGGGAUUUUUCAACUGGACCAACCAGAUGGUUUAACAGUGCACUCCCACACCAUUCAACUACGCAAGGGAGAUACACUUAACAUAUGCAGUCGUAUAACACCUACUAACAUUUUCAAACAUUAAACCUUUAAAAAAGAGUUCUAAAGAAAUAGAAGCUUGAAGUAUCAUCUCUCAAGUAUAUAGACACUACUUCAUGGUGUGGUAAUAUAUGCAUAUAGAAGCUAGUAAACACCUCCAGGAGAUGCAAAAGGAAUUAGAACUGCCACAAGGUGCAAGCAAAACCUUGAGCUUCUUUAAAAUAUGAAGACUUCGAAGUUAUUUAUCCAAACCAACCUGAUCAUUUCUUAAGAGUGAAUAUACCUUGGAAGACGUGUCCUGCCUUUAGUAGCGUCACAAUGGAUUACAUCCUCUAUAAAGCAGUCUGGGAUAUUCUGCCCAAUCAGAGGCUAACAUCUGCCACAAGACAAAUAUGGUGCCUGCCCCCAUGGAGCUCAUAUUCGAAUGGAGAAAAUGUCAACAAGUAUCCCACGGAGUGAACACUUCAAAAGGAGAAGCACAGGUGAGAAAAUCGAAUUUGGACACCGUUGAGGAGACUAUUGCAGUCAUCCAAGCUCAAGAUGGUGGAGCUUCAUCCUUGAGAAUAACCAAUGGGGAUAGAUUUAAGAGACACUUAGAGUCUGCAGCCAACAGGGCUGAAUGAGCAGAGAGUUAUGAUUCAGAAGAUCAUCUAAAAUUGAACAGCUGCCACUACUGGCAAUAAGUCUACUGCCAUUUGGUAGAUAACCUUCUUAUCACACAGAAAAAUAUCAGUACAGACAAAUAGACCGCAAAGAAAAUGAGACCAUCAGCAAAGAAGAUAAAGAAGUUUGUACAAAGCAACUUUUUAUAAAUGGAUGGCUGUCAGGCAAAAAUAAAUUUCCUGUGGACAAGACCAAGAGCAAGGCAAGAGGAAAAUAAACAUGUUUAAACUA